rnacentral:miRNA from 3 species
AACGCGUUCCGCUUUCAGUCUU